GGUAGUCUCGCACAGAUGCAUAUCAAUAAGCGGAGGAAAAGAAACUAACAAGGAUUCCCCUAGUAACGGCGAGUGAAGCGGGAAGAGCUCAAAUUUGAAAUCUUAAAGGGUUUCCCUUUACGAAUUGUAGUUUAAAGAAGUGUUUUCUGUUGAGGUUUUGGUAAAAGUUCUUUGGAAUAGGACAUCAUAGAGGGUGAGAAUCCCGUAUUUGACCUUUACUUUCAACUUUGUGAUACACUUUCAAAGAGUCGGAUUGUUUGGGAAUGCAGUCCAAAAUGGGUGGUAAAUUUCAUCUAAAGCUAAAUAUUGGCGAGAGACCGAUAGCGAACAAGUACCGUGAGGGAAAGAUGAAAAGAACUUUGAAAAGAGAGUUAAACAGUACGUGAAAUUGUCAAAAGGGAAGCGUUUGACACCAGUGUUGUUUUUCUGAAAAUCAAUUAAAGAACUGUUUAUGCUAAGUUGUUUAGACUUUAUCAGCUAACUGUUUAGUUUUGAGCUUUUCUUUAAUGCACUUUUCAGUUAACAAGUCAACAUCAAUUUCUUUUGCUGUAAAAAAGCUUGAGGAAGGUGGCUUGAGAUUCGUCUUAAGUGUUUAUAGCCUCUUGCCUAUGCAGUCGGAGAGAUUGAGGUCUGCAGCGUAGAUCCUUCGGGGCUAAAUGCAUUUGUGCUAAGUUAUAACAUUUCAUAGACAACUUGUUGACUAUGAUUUGUCUUGUAGCUUACUCGCUUAUGUUAUUUUACCUACGCUUAGGAUGUUGAUCUGUAGUGCGUGCGC
rnacentral:rRNA from 1 species